UGGGGGAUAUUGCACAAUGGGCGAAAGCCUGAUGCAGCGACGCCGCGUGGGGGAUGAAGGCCUUCGGGUUGUAAACUUCUUUUGCUCUGAACAAGGCGCACCAUGGGGUGUGUAGAGUGUAGGGGUUGAUUAGCGCCGGCUAACUACGUGCCAGCAGCCGCGGUAAUACGUAGGGCGCGAGCGUUGUCCGGAAUUAUUGGGCGUAAAGGGCUUGUAGGUGGCUGGUUGCGUCUGUCGUGAAAGCUCAUGGCUUAACUGUGGGUUUGCGGUGGGUACGGGCUGGCUUGAGUGCAGUAGGGGAGGCUGGAAUUCCUGGUGUAGCGGUGGAAUGCGCAGAUAUCAGGAGGAAUACCGGUGGCGAAGGCGGGUCUCUGGGCUGUUACUGACACUGAGGAGCGAAAGCAUGGGGAGCGAACAGG
rnacentral:rRNA from 1 species